UCAUGUUUUCAAGUUUAGCAGUAUAAAAGUAUUCAACUCAGAUGAAAUUUUGAUCCAAAUUUUUAUACUAUGUACAAUAGGAUCAAUAUUUCUAAUCGAAGAUUUUAGUGCUAUAUCACUAUUUUUUAUAGAAUUUUUAUUUUUAGCCGUUGUUGUUAAAUCUUUUCAAUUGCUUGGUAAAUGAUAUCGAAAAAUCACAAAAUUUAUUUUCUAGAAACAUCAAAUAUGUUAGAUCAAGUCUAAUAUAGCGGAUCGUUGAUUCGAAAAUUCUAUCAUCGAAAACGGCUUAGGAGCACAGAGGCCUCCGUUAUUUAUUAAAAUUUUUAUUUAUGAUCAAAUCUCGGUUAUAUAUCAAGAUAUUCUUUUAAAU
rnacentral:lncRNA from 1 species